rnacentral:rRNA from 1 species
GUGGGGAAUAUUGCGCAAUGGGGGAAACCCUGACGCAGCAACGCCGCGUGAGUGAGGAAGGACUUCGGUCUGUAAAGCUCUGUUAAUGUGGAAAAAUGGUAGUUGGUCUAAUAGGCCGAUUAUUUGAUGGUACACAUAGAGGAAGCACCGGCUAACUUCGUGCCAGCAGCCGCGGUAAUACGAAGGGUGCAAGCGUUGUUCGGAUUUAUUGGGCGUAAAGCGCGCGUAGGCGGACCUGCAAGUCAGAUGUGAAAUCUCGGGGCUCAACCUCGAAACUGCGUCUGAAACUACAGGUCUAGAAUCUCGGAGGGGGAAGGGGAAUAUCGCAUGUAGGGGUAAAAUCCGUAGAUAUGCGAUGGAACACCAGAGGCGAAGGCGCCUUCCUGGACGAGUAUUGACGCUGAGGCGCGAAAGCGUGGGGAUCAAACAGGAUUAGAAACCCCUGUAGUCC